CCCUUAGAUGUUCUGGGCCGCACGCGCGCUACACUGACGGAUUCAACGAGCUUACAACCUUGGCCGAAAGGUCUGGGUAAUCUCCAAAAUCCGUCGUGAUGGGGAUAGAUUAUUGCAAUUAUUAAUCUUCAACGAGGAAUGCCUAGUAAGCGCAAGUCAUCAGCUUGCGCUGAUUACGUCCCUGCCCUUUGUACACACCGCCCGUCGCUCCUACCGAUUGAAUGGUCCGGUGAAGCGUUUGGACUAUGGUUUUCUGAUGGUCCGCCGUUGGAUUACCGUGGGAAGUUCGUUAAACCUUAUCAUUUAGAGGAAGGAGAAGUCGUAACA
rnacentral:rRNA from 1 species